GCCUAGUAAGCUUGGAAGGUAGAGCGUUUGCCUUGUAAGCACCAGGUCGCGGGUUUGAUUCCCGCCUGGGCG
rfam:Asian citrus Psyllid, Diaphorina citri - Florida Strain, whole genome shotgun sequence.